rnacentral:tRNA from 1 species
AACAUAAAGAAUUCUAUGUUACGGCCAUAGAGAGGAUAGCAUAGCUAUCAUAUGUUU